rnacentral:rRNA from 1 species
GACGAACGCUGGCGGCGUGCCUAAUACAUGCAAGUUGAGCGCUGAAGGUUGGUACUUGUACCAACUGGAUGAGCAGCGAACGGGUGAGUAACGCGUGGGGAAUCUGCCUUUGAGCGGGGGACAACAUUUGGAAACGAAUGCUAAUACCGCAUAAAAACUUUAAACACAAGUUUUAAGUUUGAAAGAUGCAAUUGCAUCACUCAAAGAUGAUCCCGCGUUGUAUUAGCUAGUUGGUGAGGUAAAGGCUCACCAAGGCGAUGAUACAUAGCCGACCUGAGAGGGUGAUCGGCCACAUUGGGACUGAGACACGGCCCAAACUCCUACGGGAGGCAGCAGGAGGGAAGCUUCGGCAAUGGACGAAAGUCUGACCGAGCAACGCCGCGUGAGUGAAGAAGGUUUUCGGAUCGUAAAACUCUGUUGGUAGAGAAGAACGUUGGUGAGAGUGGAAAGCUCAUCAAGUGACGGUAACUACACAGAAAGGGACGGCUAACUACGUG